GUGAGGAAUAUUGCGCAAUGGAGGCAACUCUGACGCAGCCAUGCCGCGUGCAGGAAGAAGGCGCUACGCGUUGUAAACUGCUUUUAACCGGGAAGAAACCCCAGGACGUGUCCUGGGUUGACGGUACCGGAGGAAUAAGCACCGGCUAACUUCGUGCCAGCAGCCGCGGUAAUACGAAGGGUGCAAGCGUUAUCCGGAUUCAUUGGGUUUAAAGGGUGCGUAGGCGGAGCGUUAAGUCAGUGGUGAAAUCCUGCAGCUUAACUGUAGACUUGCCAUUGAUACUGGCGCUCUUGAGUGCGCUUGAAGUGGGCGGAAUGUGCCGUGUAGCGGUGAAAUGCUUAGAUAUGGCACAGAACACCAAUUGCGAGGGCAGCUCACUAAGGCGAUACUGACGCUGAGGCACGAAAGCGUGGGGAUCGAACAGGAUUAGAUACCCCAGUAGUCC
rnacentral:rRNA from 1 species